GCAGUCGAGCGGUAGAGAGGUGCUUGCACCUCUUGAGAGCGGCGGACGGGUGAGUAAAGCCUAGGAAUCUGCCUGGUAGUGGGGGAUAACGCUCGGAAACGGACGCUAAUACCGCAUACGUCCUACGGGAGAAAGCAGGGGACCUUCGGGCCUUGCGCUAUCAGAUGAGCCUAGGUCGGAUUAGCUAGUUGGUGAGGUAAUGGCUCACCAAGGCGACGAUCCGUAACUGGUCUGAGAGGAUGAUCAGUCACACUGGAACUGAGACACGGUCCAGACUCCUACGGGAGGCAGCAGUGGGGAAUAUUGGACAAUGGGCGAAAGCCUGAUCCAGCCAUGCCGCGUGUGUGAAGAAGGUCUUCGGAUUGUAAAGCACUUUAAGUUGGGAGGAAGGGCAUUAACCUAAUACGUUAGUGUUUUGACGUUACCGACAGAAUAAGCACCGGCUAACUCUGUGCCAGCAGCCGCGGUAAUACAGAGGGUGCAAGCGUUAAUCGGAAUUACUGGGCGUAAAGCGCGCGUAGGUGGUUCGUUAAGUUGGAUGUGAAAUCCCCGGGCUCAACCUGGGAACUGCAUUCAAAACUGUCGAGCUAGAGUAUGGUAGAGGGUGGUGGAAUUUCCUGUGUAGCGGUGAAAUGCGUAGAUAUAGGAAGGAACACCAGUGGCGAAGGCGACCACCUGGACUGAUACUGACACUGAGGUGCGAAAGCGUGGGGAGCAAACA
rnacentral:rRNA from 1 species